rnacentral:lncRNA from 1 species
AUGCGGAUGAUCCCAGAGCUCCCCGCCCGCCGCACCCCGGGCCCGAGCGCCGGGACCGGGCCCGUCCUCGCUGCGGCCGCGGGAGCCCCGGAGGCGCCUUCGGGGCGGCCCCGCCCGGGAUCCCAAGGCGCGCCCGGAGGGAGGAGCGGCCGCAGCGCCAGGAGCGGCCCUGCCCCGGUAACGACCCCGCCGAGCCCCCGCCGGCCCCGGUUCGUCCCGCCGCCCUCAGGCCGAGCCCAGCCGCGGGGAGGCCGCACGCGGCCCCUCCAGCCCCAGCGGCAGCGCGGCCCCUCGCAGCUCCCCUACCUCUUGGGGGGCGGCCCCCCCGCGCCGGCCGCCCCGUUGGGCGCUGGCGGAGCCACCGCCGCUGCCGCCGCGGCCGCCGCCGGGGGCGGCUCCAUUUUCCCGGGGGCGCUUUGCGAGGCCGCGGCCGCCGCCAUUUCCCAGCGCGUCCUUUGUGUGGGGAGCGCGGGGCACGACGGGACGGCGCGCCGGCCGGGCCGCCAGGGGGCGCCGCGCUGCUCAUGCGCGCGAGGGGGAACGAGGGGCGGGCAGGGUGGCGGGAAAGGGCGCGUUGGGCGCUGCGCGUGCGCGGUGAGGCGGGAACGGCGGGAUUGCGCGUGCGCGGUAAAGCGGGAAUGGCGGGACUGCGCGUGCGCGGUAAAGUGGGACUGGCGGGACUGCGCGUGCGCGCUGGGCGGCGCCGUGAGGGAGCGGCGGGCGGGGCUGGCGUGUGGGGAUUUCGGCCUCCGCACGCCCGGAGCCAGGCGGGGCUGGCGUGUGGGGAUCCCGGCCUCCGCACGCCCGGAGCCAGGCGGGGCUGGCGUGUGGGGAUCUCGGCCUCCGCACGCCCGGAGCCAGGCGGGGCUGGCGUGUGGGGAUCUCGGCCUCCGCACGCCCGGAGCCAGGCGGGGCUGGCGUGUGGGGAUCCCGGCCACCGCACGCCCGGAGCCAGGCGGGGCUGGCGUGUGGGGAUCUCGGCCUCCGCACGCCCGGAGCCAGGCGGGGCUGGCGUGUGGGGAUCUCGGCCUCCGCACGCCCGGAGCCAGGCGGGGCUGGCGUGUGGGGAUCCCGGCCUCCGCACGCCCGGAGCCAGGCGGGGCUGGCGUGUGGGGCUCUCGGCCUCCGCACGCCCGGAGCCAGGCGGGGCUGGCGUGUGGGGCUCUCGGCCUCCGCACGCCCGGAGCCAGGCGGGGCUGGCGUGUGGGGAUCUCGGCCUCCGCACGCCCGGAGCCGCGCGGUGCGGGCGGGGCUGGCGGCACCGCUCCUGGCUGCCCGCGCUGGCACAGGGAACAGCGGCUGUGCGCACGGCAGGCGCGCUGUACGGAAUGGCGGCAAUGGCAAGGCGCCGUACAGCAUGGCUGCGAUGCCGGCUCAUGCGCAGUGGGGUGA